UAGCCUAAUGGUUAAGGCCACGGAUCACCAAUCCGGAGACAGCGGGUUCGAUUCCCGU
rnacentral:tRNA from 1 species